CCGUCCACCUGCUCUGGAGCAUAUCAGCACCACCAUCUCGCAAGGCGUCCCACCUUGGCCGCUCUUGCGUAGGCUGAGGUUUUGGCAGCUCCUGUUUACGGACGGCAGAGAUAAAGAGGCGGAGGUUAAUCUCACCACCGCGGUUUUCCUCCCCGAUGAACACGCUGUCCUUCGCACUGCUGCUACUGCUGCUGGUGCCUGAGGAACAACCGAGAAAAAGAAAAAAAACCACACGCAGAAAGACAGCAGUGCACGCUUUGACCUACAAACCGAGAUCAGUGAGAGACUAAAACCUUCCGGAAGAUUCUCUGCAGCUGACACUGGCCCCCACGGCAUGUCAGGGCCUGCUCACGGCCCCCGUGAGGUCUGAGCACGCGAACCACUCAGAGGGUCAAGCAUGUUCCACUUCCCUUGGAGGGUGUUGUGAAUGAGCAACAGGAAUGCGUGGAGCGAUGACCAUCGGCCGACUGGGCCCAAUGCGUGGGAUCUCCUGCACCCCCCCUGCAACUCCUGCCCUGGCACCCUGGUUGUGGAUUGAUGCACCCCCAUACUGACCACCCUCCCCAACCUACCAGCAGCUGACACCCCUAAAAGGGAGCCAUUGUCCCCGCCCUGCGCAGCCUGGCAUGGCAGCAGAAAGAAGGCACUGAUUGGGCUGCAGAACAGGGACUUCCGCCUGUGGGUGCUGAGGUGGAGGUGGAAGAGGAAGAGGAGAAAGGCAGAUGAAGAAAGGGGGAAGAGGAACGUCGUAGCAGCAGACAGUGAAGAGGGAAUUUAGAAUCCUAUGGUGAUGCUCUGUGGUUCUCCCAGAUCUUGUGUUGACUGAGCUGAGUAUGAAUGUGGAACAUGUGGAGGGCUAAAGUUUUAACAGUGAAGGAAUUGAAGCUCAUUCUGCAGGCUGCUCCCAAGUCUGAAGAGUAACUUGAGGCAGGCAAAAGGCAGUCAGCAAACCAAUGUUGCUUGGAACUCCCUGCAUGAUGGUUCUCUUGUGUGGUUCCCUGAUGGUGGAGUACUUGUAGGUUCCAUUCGAACUGGUAACUCGGAAAUUCGGAGAUCCUGGUCAGAAAUUUCAACUGGAACGGCCCCUUGAAGUUUUGGAUUUCUUGCUUAGCUGGAUAACCUGUCAAAUUUAAGGAAGUCUGCACUACAUGUGACUGAACGGAGAUAAGGCCAUUUAAACUGUGGUAAAUUUAAUCCGAUAAUUAAGUUAUCUGGCUAAGCAAGAAUCUUGCUUUUUGAAAUAGGUCAUGUAAGUAGAAUAUAAAUAAAAGACUAUAUCCCAUUUGAUUCCCAUUGAUCCCCCCCCCAAUAACUAACAAAAAUGAUUAAACAAAAAUGAUUAAACAAAAUUAUCCUCCCAUGUUUUGGUGUGGCUGGUGUAGUUCUGUAUGAAAUUAUGUGUGAAGUUUAAUCUAUGAG